AACGAACGCUGGCGGCAGGCUUAACACAUGCAAGUCGAACGCCCCGCAAGGGGAGUGGCAGACGGGUGAGUAACGCGUGGGAACGUGCCCUUCGCUUCGGAAUAGCCCCGGGAAACUGGGAGUAAUACCGGAUACGCCGUAUUGGGAAAGAUUUAUCGGCGAAGGAUCGGCCCGCGUUGGAUUAGCUAGUUGGAGGUGUAAUGGACCCCCAAGGCUACGAUCCAUAGCUGGUCUGAGGGGAUGAUCAGCCACACUGGGACUGAGACACGGCCCAGACUCCUACGGGAGGCAGCAGUGGGGAAUCUUGGACAAUGGGCGCAAGCCUGAUCCAGCCAUGCCGCGUGAGUGAAGAAGGCCUUAGGGUUGUAAAACUCUUUCGCCGGAGAAGAUAAUGACGGUAUCCGGAGAAGAAGCCCCGGCUAACUUCGUGCCAGCCGCCGCCGUAACAC
rnacentral:rRNA from 1 species